UUGACUGAAUCAUAUCUUUGUCCAUUUUUAUUUCGGAGUUUAUUUAAUAGAUACUUGGAGCUCAUUUCUGAGGGAAUAAAGUGGGGGAGGGGAGGCCAAGAAAAGCAAUGCUGAAUUAUAACUGUCCUGAAGUUCACACUCUCAGGGGGAAAGCAGACAAUGCUCACUCACGCUUGUGCACACGCUCAUACACAUACGUGGGCCCACGGGACAUGUGUGCACACACAUGUGCAUACAGGCAUAAGUGCACCCACAAAUAAGUACCUGAGUAUUUGGAGAGGGUGAGCGGCUCCUUGAGGUCCAGAAACCUCAUGUCAGAUGGCACCCCUGCCCUCUCCUACUUGAAGCUGGUGCCGGGGCUGGAAAGGUAUGGGGACCAGGCACCCCACACUCUGAGGGCGGGGGUGCCAUCUGACAUGUGGCUCCUGGAAGGCCUUUUGGGGCUGUGUCGUGGAAGAUUUAAAGUGCUCACACCCUUUGACCCAGCGAUUCUCUCCCAGGGGUGGAUUGUAAUAAAAUCACUGGGUGUGAGCCUGUGGGUAUGAGUGCGAUGAUGCUCUUGCAGUGGGCUUUGUGAGUGACCAGCCAGUGUGCAGAGCAGGACUGGAGAUGAACCGAAGGGGCAGCGGCAGAGGGAGGUGAGAGAGACAAAGGCCCGUCCAUGGCGUGGGCUCCUGGGCGGCUCGGAGAUGAUGCGGACUUGAGUUUAUUGAUGUGGAAAGCUGUCCGUGGCGGGAGGCACGGCACGUGAUCACAGAGCACAGGCAGUGUUUCCCAAAUGGGGCCACUUCACACAAUCCUCUCUGUCUCUCCCCAUCACUCCUGCUCUCCAGCUCUAAGAAUAAUGUAGAACAUGAAGUUUAAAAACCUAUUUACCAACAUUUUAAUGGCUCCACAAGAUGAGAUUGCCAGUAAUUUUCUUUCACUUCAUCAUUCCUUUAGGUAUUGUCUUUGCUUUUUUAAAAAAAAUUUUAUGAUUUUUGCAGUCAAUGCUUAUUACUUUAAUAACAGUAAAAAUGUGAUUUUUAUGUUUUUAAGUGAUUCUUCUGUGCCCCAUGAUGAAGGCAGGGGCCCGUCUGCAGAAUGUCCCCUUGACUCACCAUAAAGGAGGGAAAGAUCCAUUUAUGACACUUCUCAAGCGCCUCUUAGGCAAGGUGCUGAGUUGGAGGCGUUCACAUGGAUACUCUCAUGGACCCCAGGCAGCCGCUCUGUGACGUCAUGGUCAUCACUCACAUUUCACAGUUAAGAUGGUGGGUCAGAGGGGGUAAGCGGUCUGCCAAGGUCACACAGCUGGGGCUCUAGCCACAUGGGGAGGAGGUGCAUGGAGAAGGGGCGUUGCCUUUCCCGGGGCGUGAAAUGGUCUAGCCCAUGAGUGACAUGUCACCACUAAGGGAGAGCUUCUCAAUUGGCUGAAUGGACGUGGCCAAGGAUGAGUCCUGGCUGGCUGUGAGGAGUGUCAGCAGGAAGAAGCAGCAGGUGCCCCGGGAUCAUCGCGUGUGUGCCCUGCUCCAUCCCAGAGUCAGCUGUUCCUCCAAGGAGUCCCGCCUGGAGAACGGGAUGUCAGAAAUACAGGAAAGCACAGGAAAAGAUUGGAAAGACCCCAGCAUCUCCCUCCAGGAGACCCUCUGUGCAUGUCUGGGUGUUCAUCCAUCCAUCCCUUUCUACCCUAAAUUGUACCCCGAAUCAAUCUUCUCUAGCUUGCUUAAUAAUAUCAUUCAUUCACAGAGAACCUGCUUUCCCAAGUUUGUGAACAGGGGUGUGCUUACCACACAG